rnacentral:rRNA from 1 species
ACGGCUCAGUAACACGUAGAUAAUUUGCCCUUAGGUGGAGGAUACCCUCGGGAAACUGAGAAUAAUACUCCAUAGAUUUAAACUGCUGGAAUGCUUUUAAAUUGAAAGAUUUAUCGCCUAAGGAUAAGUCUGCGGACUAUCAGGUUGUAGUUAGGGUAAAUACCUGACUAGCCUACGACGGAUACGGGUAGUGAGAGCUUUAGCCCGGAGAUGAUAUCUGAGACACGAUAUCAGGCCCUACGGGGCGCAGCAGGCGCGAAAACUUCGCACUGUGCGAAAGCACGACGAGGGAAUCCCAAGUGCUGGCUCGUAAGAGUCAGCUGUUUUUCUGUCUAAAAAACAGGGAGAGUAAGAGCUGGGUAAGACGGGUGCCAGCCGCCGCGGUAAUACCUGCAGCUCAAGUGGUGGCCGCUAUUAUUGGGCCUAAAACGUCCGUAGCCGGUUUCAUAAAUGCCUGGGUAAAUCAUACGGCUUAACCGUAUGAAUUCCGGGUAGACUGUUUAACUUGAGACCGGGAGAGGCUAGAGGUACUCCUGGGGUAGAGGUGAAAUUCUGUAAUCCUAGGGGGACCACCAGUGGCGAAGGCGUCUAGCUAGAACGGGUCUGACGGUGAGGGACGAAGCCCUGGGGAGCAAACGGGAUUAGAUACCCCGGUAGUCCAGGGUGUAAACGCUGCUCGCUUGAUGUUAGUCGGGCUCCGAGCCCAACUAGUGUCGGAGAGAAGUUGUUA